rnacentral:ncRNA from 2 species
AAUCGAAUAUUGGCGAUAAGUGAUCUUUGCUCGAGGGCAAGGAUUGAAAAGGGAAGUCAGAUAAGCUGACGCGGUACCCGCCACUGUAUAAGGGAGUCGAUUCAUAGAUUGUCACUGGGCUGCGCCCGGGAAGACGUGAAUGGAUAAGGAUCUUGAGCCAGGAAACCUGCUUAUGCCGACCACUGUAA